rnacentral:rRNA from 1 species
GUAGGUGGCAAGCGUUGUCCGGAAUUAUUGGGCGUAAAGCGCGCGCAGGCGGUUCUUUAAGUCUGAUGUGAAAGCCCACGGCUCAACCGUGGAGGGUCAUUGGAAACUGGAGAACUUGAGUACAGAAGAGGAAAGCGGAAUUCCACGUGUAGCGGUGAAGUGCGUAGAGAUGUGGAGGAACACCAGUGGCGAAGGCGGCUUUCUGGUCUGUAACUGACGCUGAGGCGCGAAAGCGUGGGGAGCAAACAGGAUUAGAUACCCUGGUAGUCCACGCCGUAAACGAUGAGUGCUAAGUGUUAGGGGGUUUUCCGCCCCCCUUAGUGCUGCAGCUAACGCAUUAAGCACUCCGCCUGGGAGUACGGCCGCAAGGCUG